GUCUACGGUCAUAGAACUUAAAAAACGCCGAACCCCGUCUGCUCUUCGAAGCUAAGUCAAGUGUCGCUUGGUCAGUACCAAGGUGGGGGACCACUUGGGAAUCCCAAGUACUGUAGUUC
rfam:Cryptococcus dejecticola CBS 10117 unplaced genomic scaffold supercont1.1, whole genome shotgun sequence.